rnacentral:rRNA from 1 species
UACGGAGGGGGCUAGCGUUGUUCGGAAUCACUGGGCUUAAAGGGCGCGUAGGCGGGCUGUCAAGUCUGGGGUGAAAUCCCGCGGCUCAACCGUGGAACUGCCUCAGAUACUGACGGCCUCGAGGGAGAUAGGGGGCGAGCGGAACUAAUGGUGGAGCGGUGAAAUGCGUUGAUAUCAUUAGGAACUCCGGUGGCGAAGGCGGCUCGCUGGGAUCUUUUCUGACGCUUGAG